rnacentral:rRNA from 1 species
AGCGAACGCUGGCGGCAGGCCUAACACAUGCAAGUCGAACGAACUCUUCGGAGUUAGUGGCGGACGGGUGAGUAACACGUGGGAACGUGCCCUUUGGUACGGAAUAACUCAGGGAAACUUGAGCUAAUACCGUAUGUGCCCUUCGGGGGAAAGAUUUAUCGCCAUUGGAGCGGCCCGCGUCUGAUUAGCUAGUUGGUGAGGUAACGGCUCACCAAGGCGACGAUCAGUAGCUGGUCUGAGAGGAUGACCAGCCACAUUGGGACUGAGACACGGCCCAAACUCCUACGGGAGGCAGCAGUGGGGAAUCUUGCGCAAUGGGCGAAAGCCUGACGCAGCCAUGCCGCGUGGAUGAUGAAGGUCUUAGGAUUGUAAAAUCCUUUCACCGGUGAAGAUAAUGACUGUAGCCGGAGAGGAAGCCCCGGCUAACUUCGUGCCAGCCGCCGCAGUAAUAC